GUGUCAGCCGCCGCGGUAAGACAGAGGUGGCAAGCGUUGUUCGGAUUUACUGGGCUUAAAGGGCGUGUAGGCGUCCUGAUAAGUCAGAUGUGGAAGCCUUGGGCUUAACCCAAGAAUUGCAUUUGAAACUGUCAGGAUUGAGUCGUGCAUGGGAGGGCGGAAUUCCUGGUGUAGCGGUGAAAUGCGUAGAUAUCAGGAGGAAGGCCGGUGGUGAAGAUGGCCCUCUGGGCAAUGACUGACGCUGAGGCGCGAAAGCGUGGGUAGCAAACAGGAUUAGAAACCCCUGUAGUCC
rnacentral:rRNA from 1 species